GGUAAUUCCCUCCCACCCAGGGAAUUUAUUUAGGUAGCCAGAAAGUUUCAUGCUGGUGAAAAGCAGUUUGCUGAUUGAAUUGAUUUAUUGCUAAACUAGCUAUAUAUUUGAUACUGUGAAUACGAUAUAAAUACAUAAAUAUAUAUAUACAUAAGACACCCAUCGUACUUCUGUUGUUGGUGUGCAGAAAUUGUCGUCGACUGCUUCGGGAACCAGUCCCAAAUUGUUCUAUGAUACAAAACAUGUAGGCACGAUUUCAUUGAACUAAUUUUGACCCAACAAUUCACAAUUUCAAGCGUCAUUCAAACGUGAUUUGCAUGUGAAGAUUUGUUGACAGAAGCGGUUAAAAAAAAAGAUGGAACAAUGAUGAAACAGAAGAGCUUGCUGAUUUUCUCGAUUACCACUUUUUGUUGGAUGCGUAUAAAAUAAGAAUAUAUUCGUUAAAUACAGAUUAUGAAUUGAAAUAAAAAAUACUUGUAAUAGCCUAAUUUGUAAAGUAUUUUUAUAUAAUUCAGAUUGACUUUCGUGGUAAAAAAUCUCACGAUUAGGGAUUGGUCUAGGCUGAAAUGUCUAAAAAUGUGUAAAGUGUUAUCUUUUUCGUUUAACAUAUAUAUAACUGUACAAUUUUUUUCAUUUGCAAUCAGUUGCUAGUCUAACAACAACAACAACAAUAAUGAUAAAUAUUUAAAGUGUUUCUAGCCCAGAAAAUCACAAAAACCUAUUGUUAGUGGAUUAUUUCCAUUGGGGUCCACUGAGUCUGAGUGAAGCUAGCUUUCUCACAUUUACGUUUAGUUUUAGCAGGGUUCUAGAAAACUAAUCAAGACCAACGUUAGAGGUAGCUAAGGUUACAGAUCAGAUGAAUUAUUAUUUUCCUUUUAAAAUUUAAUUUUAGAAGUAUAA